rnacentral:sRNA from 1 species
CCCCACACCCCCGUCUCUGGCCCCCAUUUGCCUACACCCGGGCCUUCCUCCACCACCCCUGCAUUUACCCCUCUUCCUCCUCCUCUCCCCUCCCUCCCCCGCUACCCUAACUUUGCCAGGCUGCUUUUCCCUUCCAUCCAUCUUAAAGGAAGGAAGGGACGGGCUGAGUUCCCCGACGAAGGACACACCCAGAUUUUCCUGCAGCUUGGGGAGAGGUCCUCCCAGGACCCUUGGUCCCUCCUGGCCUAACGGAGUCCUUAGCCAGGAUGGAGGCUGUUGUGAACUUGUACCAAGAGAUGAUGAAGCACGCAGAUCCCCGGAUCCAGGGCUACCCUCUGAUGGGGUCCCCUUUGCUAAUGACCUCCAUCCUCCUGACCUACGUGUACUUCGUUCUCUCACUUGGGCCUCGCAUCAUGGCUAAUCGGAAGCCCUUCCAGCUCCGUGGCUUCAUGAUUGUCUACAACUUCUCACUGGUGGCACUCUCCCUCUACAUUGUCUAUGAGUUCCUGAUGUCGGGCUGGCUGAGCACCUAUACCUGGCGCUGUGACCCUGUGGACUAUUCCAACAGCCCUGAGGCACUUAGGAUGGUUCGGGUGGCCUGGCUCUUCCUCUUCUCCAAGUUCAUUGAGCUGAUGGACACAGUGAUCUUUAUUCUCCGAAAGAAAGAUGGGCAGGUGACCUUCCUACAUGUCUUCCAUCACUCUGUGCUUCCCUGGAGCUGGUGGUGGGGGGUAAAGAUUGCCCCGGGAGGAAUGGGCUCUUUCCAUGCCAUGAUAAACUCUUCUGUGCAUGUCAUAAUGUACCUGUACUACGGAUUGUCUGCCUUUGGCCCUGUGGCACAACCCUACCUUUGGUGGAAAAAGCACAUGACAGCCAUUCAGCUGAUCCAGUUUGUCCUGGUCUCACUGCACAUCUCCCAGUACUACUUUAUGUCCACCUGUAACUACCAGUACCCAGUCAUUAUUCACCUCA